AUCGUACCCCAAACCGACACAGGUGGUCAGGUAGAGAAUACCAAGGCGCUUGAGAGAACUCGGGUGAAGGAACUAGGCAAAAUGGUGCCGUAACUUCGGGAGAAGGCACGCUGAUAGGUAGGUGAAGUCCCUGCGGACGGAGCUGAAAUCAGUCGAAGAUACCAGCUGGCUGCAACUGUUUAUUAAAAACACAGCACUGUGCAAACACGAAAGUGGACGUAUACGGUGUGACGCCUGCCCGGUGGGAUGAUAACGGCCAGCAUGGCGUCCAGAACGUCCAAUGCAUCAUCCAGCGCCAGCGUUUCCCAUGCAAGGACAAAGGCAACCAGAACCGCCAUCCUUUUCUGCGGUGACAUCCUGGCAAUAUUGAAGGCACUGUUGCAAAGUUAGCGAUGAGGCAGCCUUUUGUCUUAUUCAAAGGCCUUACAUUUCAAAAACUCUGCUUACCAGGCGCAUUUCGCCCAGGGGAUCACCAUAAUAAAAUGCUGAGGCCUG
rnacentral:rRNA from 1 species